UUGGUAAGGAUGGCCUAUUGAGGCACUAAAGAGUUGUAGUAUUUUUAUUUGUUAUAAACUUAUGUUAUAAGUUAUUUAUUCCAUAUCCUUGCUGGUCUUCUUAGAGCUCAUUAUUAGUAGGAUUAUUUUCUUUUUUAAACAUGUCCAUUGUGUAAGAGAGAGAGAAUUAGUAAGGUUAGGGGAAAGAAUCAUCAGAUUUGGAAUUGAAAUAAAAAAAUUAUGAAAGUUUAUUAUUGCUGUUGUUCUACCCUAGUGGUGGCAGUUGCUAUUGUUCUAUUCUUGUGCUAUUUUCAU
rnacentral:lncRNA from 1 species